rnacentral:rRNA from 1 species
UGGGGAAUAUUGGACAAUGGGCGAAAGCCUGAUCCAGCCACGCCGCGUGAGUGAUGAAGGCCUUCGGGUUGUAAAGCUCUGUGGGAGGGGACGAAAAAGGCGGCCAAGAAACGGGUCGCCCUUGACGGUACCUUCUUAGCAAGCACCGGCUAACUCUGUGCCAGCAGCCGCGGUAAGACAGAGGGUGCAAACGUUGCUCGGAAUCACUGGGCGUAAAGCGCGUGUAGGCGGACGAUCAAGUCAGUUGUGAAAUCCCUGGGCUCAACCUAGGAACUGCAUCUGAAACUGGUCGCCUUGAGUGUCGGAGAGGGAAGCGGAAUUCCGGGUGUAGAGGUGAAAUUCGUAGAUAUCCGGAGGAACACCGGUGGCGAAGGCGGCUUCCUGGACGACUACUGACGCUGAGACGCGAAAGCGUGGGGAGCAAACAGG